AACUUUGAGCGCUGACAGCAUUGUAGCCAAUGAGGUUUAUCUGAGGCACGAUUAUUGCUAAUUAAAAUCUUUCUGUUGAUGGUCAACUGUAAAAAGCAGAUGGGGGUGAGACUUCCCUGGUUAACCUUCUUAUGUAGUUUUGACCUUCAAAUUAUGAAACUGUAUUACCUAUUCA
rfam:Canis lupus familiaris chromosome 10, whole genome shotgun sequence.